rnacentral:rRNA from 1 species
AUACGGAGGGGGCUAGCGUUGUUCGGAAUUACUGGGCGUAAAGCGUACGCAGGCUGACCAUUAAGUUAGAGGUGAAAUCCCAGGGCUCAACACUGGAACUGCCUUUAAAACUGCUGGUCUGGAGUUAUGGAGAGGUAAGUGGAAUUCCUAGUGUAGAGGUGAAAUUCGUAGAUAUUAGGAGGAACACCAGAGGCGAAGGCGGCUUACUGGACAUAUACUGACGCUGAGGUACGAAAGUGUGGGGAGCAAACGGGAUUAGAAACCCUAGUAGUCC